ensembl:lncRNA
GCUGUGGAUCCUGACAGGAGCAGCUCUGAAGGAUCCCAGUUUUCUGGGGUCUUGAUAUGGAUCCCCUUUAGGAGCUGCUUUGGGGCUGGGUGUGCUCACACAGCAGCCACACCUCAUCUCGGAGCAGCUGGGGCUGAUAAGAUAGGGGUUAAUUAAGGGGAGGGGGCUGCAAUAGGGCUCUGCUGGGUGGGUAUGGUAUGGCCUGGCCCUUUUGUCAAGCAUAGGGGAAAAGCUCUUCUGUUCUUCUUCAGGAUUAAGUGGAAGAUUUGUGCUGGGCAGGUUGCAAUGCAAUGCUGUGCGGAUGCAAUGCUGCUCACAACCUGCCCAGUUGUUCUUGCUGCUGAUCUAUCCCCCCUUGGCAACUCUAAGCUUUGCUUUUUUGCUGUUUGCAUGCAAAGCCUGCGUGCAGUGCAUGCUGCUGCGUUUGGGCAGCAGACAGAGAGCUGCUUGGAUGGACUGUGAGCGCGGUGUUGGGGUGUGUAGGAAGCAGGAAUGGAGCAGCUGGAGUGGUACUGAGGCAAUAGGAGAGGGAAGCCCCCAUGGGAGGGAUUUAGGGAUCAAUAACCCAGAAAGCAAAGAGUGCAGCAACCCUGGAAUGUGCUGACAGGAACAAACUGAGGGAGAAACGACACCGAAGGAGCAAAGCUCUUCCCAGCAGAUGCUCUGCUGUGCAGCAUGGGUGGUGCUCGCUCUGCUCCCCAGUUUGCCCAGCGCUGAGUGUGGGAUGUGGCACAGUGUCCUGGGGGUGAAAUGAGCACUGAGGUCAUGAAGACAGCUGCACACCCGAGAUCCCUACAAGAGGAUUUGCUUUGUCUCCAUUGUAAUGCCCUUAUGGCAUCCAUGGAGCUGCGGGAGCUGACUUUGGGGCAGAGAGCUGAGCCUCCUCCUUAGCAGUGAACCCACACCUCUGCCCAUGCACAAAGCUGAGGCAGCCACAGCUUUGGAUGGGAUCGCUCCGUUGCAAAGGGGAAGCGCUGCUCUGAGCUCUGCCUUAAUGCCUCUCUGUGCCAUUCCAGUGUGAGUUCAGCUCUGCUGCUCCCCAUGUCUGCAAUGUCUGCUGGUAAUUGGCUCCCCUUUCGCUGCGAUAACCAAGAGCAGCGGGGUGGAAAUGCAGCCACUUCCCGGCUCCUGUUCUAAUGAGAUCAGUGCGCGCCCCUGGGAAAGGUGAGUGUGACACAGGUGGGACGUGGCUUUGCAUGAGCAGCUCCAUGCAUCCCAGCUGCAGGGUCUUCCGUGCAUGCCGUGCUCCAAGCAUCAGAGUCACUGGGCAACGCCGUGCAGCAGCAGGGCGGGCUCUGCAAAGGGAAUUGCAUCUGAACAGCGUUGCAUCUGAAUAGCGCUGCACCUGCAGAGUGUUGCAUCUGAACAGCAUUGCAUCUGAACAGCACGGUACCUGCACAGUAUUGCAUCUGCACAGUGUUACAUCCAAACAGCGUUGCACCUGAGCAACACAGUGCCUGCACAGUGUUUGCAUCUGAACAGCACAGUAUCUGCACAGCGUUGCAUCUGAAUAGCAUUGCACCUGCACAGUGUUGCAUCUGAACAGCAUUGCACCUGCUCAGCAUUGCAUCUGAACAACACAGUACCUACACAGCGUUGCAUCUGAACAGAACAGCACCUGCAUAUCAUUGCAUCUGAACAGCAUUGCGACUGCGUGGCACUGCAUCUGAAUAGCACUGCGCCUGCACUGCUUUGCACCUGCACGGUGUUGCACCUGCACUGCUUUGCACCUGCACAGUAAUGGCAUUGCACUUGCACAGAAGGAGAGGGAGAGAAAGCAGCCCUGGGAUCGGGACCUGCUGCUCACAGGGCCCCGCAGGGCUGUGCCCUCACUGUUUGCCCACAUCCCACCGAAAUCCCACGGGAUCGAUGGGGGUCGGCCGGGUGCACCGCCCCGAGGCCAUGGGAUCGAUGAGGAGUGAAGGAAAUGCGGCCGAAGAUGCGCGGUUUUACAGCUUCCUCCCCAAGAACGGCCGUGCUUUAUGGACUGCUGGUAAUUGCCAAUUAAUUGCGCUGCAGCCGAGGGCAGGAAAGCAGCCCGCAUCCUCCAUACGGGGUGGGCAGGAUAUCAGAGUCCGAAGGUGUUACCACUCCUCCACUUAAUGAAGAAAAAUCACGAUGGAGGCGGCCGGAGGCAACGCAAUGGGAUUGCAGCGGGGAGGAGAGGACUGUGUUAACACCCAUUAAUAAUAAAUAACCGCCAUAAUGAGCUCUAAUUAAUUUGGUCACACGUUAGAGAUCGCUUCCUUCUUUUUUAAGCUUGUAGGUUUUUCUGUGCCGGAGCAUCCCUGCGCCCUGGCUGUUCCCAGCCCCUUCCAUUCAACGUGUGAUAGAUGGAUUGAUACGCAGCUUUAAUCAGUGUAAUAUAUAAAGCACUUAAUUUGCCUUAUUAAAAGUCUGC